GUUGUUUUCUCGUGGGUCUCACACCUUUCAUGCUGUUCAGAGAGAUUACAUUUCAAAAAUGCCACAGACAAGACAGACAGGAUAAUCAAUCACGACACUCCUGCUUCACCGACUCUGAGCCCUUCAGUACUCAGUCUUGAGGAGGAUGCGAUGUCACAGCCUCACAUCAACAACAAAGCGGAGGCCGCUGAAAAGGCUGAUUCAUCUCAUCUCUGGAGAGAGAUUCCUGCCAUGUCUGCUGCAUCUCUCAUGUCUUUCAUCCUCCGUCUCUCUCUCCGCCAUGACAGUGAUUAAUGACCCUCAGCUGCCAUGUGCUUCCUUGCUGACACUCCCAUCUUUCUUUUUCUCCUCUUUGCACUCUGUCUCACAAGAAGAAGGAUUAAAGUGGGAGAAUCUAGCCAAAAAAAAAAAAAUAAAUAACGAUUGAUGCCACAUGUUCUCAGUGGGGGAAAAAAGAUGGAAAAACCCUGAUAUUGGUCAACAUGGAGAAAGAAAGGUCAUAUUUCCAGACAUAUAAAUAAGUGUUUAUACCUUGCAGUGUCAGUGCCAGAACAACUAGAGGAAUGCUCCUGAGCUGUGUUAAGACUGUGUGAAGAUCAUUGACUGUAUAUAAAGAUCAGCAGGUCAGCCUGAGCACUGCAUCACUCCUAAUACUCUAUGUCAAACAGUAUCAGGCCAUCGGGAGGGAAAGCAAAGGAGAGAAGACCUCAUUGGGGAAUGACAUGCCAAUCAUUCGACAGUGCAAAACAAGUAGAAAACAUUAAACACACAUAUUAUUCAUUUUGAGCCUAUAUGCAGUAUACAGUAGAGGUGGAAAUCACAAGUCACUUUGCUGAUUCGAAUCAGUAGUAGUAUACAACUUGUACCAAAAAAGAAAUAUGUCUCUCAGCUUGAAUUUGCUUUUCAGUAGUUUAUAUUUACUCAUGUAGGAACUGUAACAAUCAGUGGGUGUUCAGGAGAACUGAGCAGGGCAUAAGAACUUGUGGUACCACUUUUUAAUUAGGGGUUUUUAACUUCUACCUGACUGUUUUAAUUGACGGUUAUUAAAUCAUGUAAUUCCGGUUUUUAGAUCCGUACUAAGCCGCUAAUAAGAAUAAUUUUUGGGUUGCCAGGUUGUGAAAAGUCCCUUUGUUUGUUUAUCCUCUUCCAGCAUAACUUGCUUGGUGUUUUAUUUAGCUUUAUAUCUAGGAUAAUUGAGGAUUAUUACAAAAUGAUUCAUACAACUUUGGUGUUGUGCAUGUUGAUGCUGUUUCCAUCAGUUGGAGAAACAGUCAACCAGUCAAAGUCUUGUCGAAGUCAUCUUCCUGCACAGCUUGCAAGCUACGUAUACCUCCAUGAAAACUAGCAACAGAAAAAUGGCCACAAAACUAAGUAUUACUAAGAGUAUAAACUGCUCCACAAAAAAGUGGUUUGCAGACAGUUAUGAAACAGGAGUUGCUGGUACAAAUAUGCCUUUUGAAUAAAUCCCAAGAACAAAUGCCAAGGGGGAGUAAACGGUACAGUACAGAGACCAAACACUAUUUAUUUAUCUAACAUUUUGAUUAAUUAACAUUUACAACUGGACUGUUCCCACCCUCAGUGUCUAAACCUGUUAACUCUCAAACAAGAGGUUUUCUCACAGGAUGUGCAGGUGACGAGAGGCAGAGAAACAUCUCACACCCUCCCGUGUCACUUCCUGUUUCUCUGUCACUCCAUUUCUUUAUUUCACCUGAUGUGUCUCUACCUCCACCUGAUCCCCGUGUCAGACGGAGGAGUCCCUCCUCAGUCAGCGUCCUGACAGGUGACAGACAGCGAGGAUGGCUCACAGUGACACAGCUCUGUUUAUCUCCAUUCUGUCUUUCCUUUCUUUCUUUUAAAGAGUAAAUACACCCUCAAAUGCCAGAAUCCUCCCUUCCAGUAUAUUUAAAAAAUGCAACAAACGAUUAGGGUGUAAAGAGAGAGGAUUGACAACAGUAAGCAGACGGCAGACUGAGGUAGUUUGUCUCUUCAGGAUUUUAGUAAUGUCAGUUUUAUUUACAUAGCCCAAUACCACAAAUUUGCCUCAAGGGGUUUACUCUUCUGUGUGAACACGUGUAUAGGUAUAUAUGUAUAUAUGUAAAUGUAUAUCUUUCUUGUAACUGUAAUUUUAUGUUUUUUCCUUCCUUUAGUGCUACUUUUAUAUACUUUUUUCUAUUUUAUUGUCUAUUUUAUUGUUUUAUUCUAUUCUAAUUUAAAUAUUUGAAUAUUUGUUUAUACAUUCUCUGUGUGUGUAGCGUGGUGGGGGCUACAACUGCAUUUUGAAACACCUCAUACCUAAACGACAGAAUAGGUCAAUUGCCAAUGACAAAACGACAAAUAUGACUUUUGGAGAGCACCAGCGACAGGCGUACCGAACCUUCGUCAUCAUGGUAACAAUAAACACGUGGUUAACAUUGUGAAACUGCUUGGUUAGGUUUGGGAAAAGAUCAUGGUUUGGGUUAAAAUAAGUAAGUUACAUUAGUACUUUCUCCUGGGCCCUGAUACGUAUGUAACUUACGUACGUAACUUAAAAUAAGUCAACGCUGACUUUUGGUUUCACACGAACAAAGGUCUCCUGGAGGACGAUCUGGCAUUUUAUUGUGCAAUCCUGUAUUUUAUAAUGGCAAUAAAGCUGAACCUUGAACCUUACAACCUGUACAGCAUACAAGACCCUCUACCCUUAGAUCCUCGAUUCAGAUAAGGAAACCCCCCCCCCAAAAAAAAAACCUUCAACAGGAGAAAAAAAUGGAAGAAACUUCAGGACGAGCAACAGAGGCUGCUGUUUAUCCUGGUUAACUUUACUUUUCGUCACGCCCUGAAUAUCUUGUUAAGCUCUGAUCGCAGCACAGUUAUCAGCUGGGUCAUUUGUUUAAUGUCAGAAGAGGAAUACACCUCUCACAGGCAACACUUUACAGUACUUUAACUCCCCCUAUUUUAGCAUUUAUGAGCAGUAUAUAAAUGUUUAAUAAAUGGUUUAUAACACACUAUAAUGUAGUUGUACAAAGUAUUUAAUAAUGUAUUUUUUAAACACAUAACUCCUGUGAAGGCUGGUGUAUAAACAAGUAAUGAACGACAAUAUGGUAAAACACAGCUGCAGUAAUAUAAAAUAUGUCUUUAUAGGAGAUGUUUUAAUUGUUGACAAAUACUGUACAAUAUAGCUUAUAUAGCAAUUAUAGUGCAGAGACAUACACGUUAGUUUUGAGCAGAAAAAGCAUUUUUUGUUGGAAAAAAAUCAUCUGUAUUAACAUCAUAUGCCAAAAAGAAUAAAGAAAUUAGUUUAG